UACGUAGGUGGCAAGCGUUGUCCGGAUUUACUGGGCGUAAAGAGCGCGCAGGCGGUCGUUCAAGUCGAGUGUGAAAGCCCCCGGCUCAACUGGGGAGGGUCACUCGAUACUGAUCGACUCGAAGGCAGGAGAGGGAAGCGGAAUUCCCGGUGUAGUGGUGAAAUUCGUAGAUAUUCGGAAGAACACCAGUGGCGAAGGCGACUCACUGGACACAUAUUGACGCUGAGGUGCGAAAGCGUGGGGAGCAAACAGG
rnacentral:rRNA from 1 species